rnacentral:sRNA from 1 species
AUUGUACUGACAAGAAACCUGCUGCUAUAAAUUGGAUAGAGGGAAGAGGAAAAUCUGUUGUUUGUGAAGCUGUCAUUCCAGCCAAGGUUGUCAGAGAAGUAUUAAAGACUACCACAGAGGCUAUGAUUGAGGUCAACAUUAACAAGAAUUUAGUGGGCUCUGCCAUGGCUGGGAGCAUAGGAGGCUACAACGCCCAUGCAGCAAACAUUGUCACCGCCAUCUACAUUGCCUGUGGACAGGAUGCAGCACAGAAUGUUGGUAGUUCAAACUGUAUUACUUUAAUGGAAGCAAGUGGUCCCACAAAUGAAGAUUUAUAUAUCAGCUGCACCAUGCCAUCUAUAGAGAUAGGAACGGUGGGUGGUGGGACCAAUCUACUACCUCAGCAAGCCUGUUUGCAGGUAUGAUGUAUCAGGCAUAGAGUCCACAAGCCUAGUUCUGACUCUCUGGGUUUCUCUUUCUAUCUGAGACUAUGUAUCACUCACCUCUAUUUUAAUUGGUCUUUUCAAAACUCUUUUGUCUUAUCAGCCUAAUCCAUUGUGUCCAAAUAAGCAUGUUUAAGCUUAUGCUUAGAUAAGAAAGUAGAUGAAGAGAGCAAAUGAAUGU